rnacentral:tRNA from 1 species
GGGCCCGUAGCUCAGCAUGGAUAGAGCGGCGGAGCGCUUGGCGCCGACCCUCCGGAGCCGUAGGUCGCGGGUUCAAAUCCCGCCGGGCCCGCCA